GACAGAGGGUGCAAACGUUGUUCGGAAUUACUGGGCGUAAAGCGCGUGUAGGCGGCUUGGCAAGUCGGGUGUGAAAGCCCUGGGCUCAACCUAGGAAGUGCACUCGAAACUGCCUCGCUUGAAUGCCGGAGAGGAAAGCGGAAUUCUCGGUGUAGAGGUGAAAUUCGUAGAUAUCGAGAGGAACACCGGUGGCGAAGGCGGCUUUCUGGACGGUUAUUGACGCUGAGACGCGAAAGCGUGGGGAGCAAACAGG
rnacentral:rRNA from 1 species